rnacentral:rRNA from 1 species
UACAGAGGUGCCGAGCGUUAGGCGGAAUCACUGGGCUUAAAGCGUGUGUAGGCGGAUGCCUAAGUACCUUGUGAAAUCCCACGGCUCAACCGUGGAACUGCUUGGUAUACUGGGUGUCUUGAGCCAUCUAGGGGCUACCGGAACAAAUGGUGGAGCGGUGAAAUGCGUAGAUAUCAUUUGGAACGCCAAUGGUGAAAACAGGUAGCUGGGGAUGUGCUGACGCUGAGACGCGAAAGCGUGGGGAGCAAACAGG